GUGGGGAAUAUUGGGCAAUGGGCGCAAGCCUGACCCAGCAACGCCGCGUGAAGGAAGAAGGCUUUCGGGUUGUAAACUUCUUUUACCAGGGACGAAAAAAAUGACGGUACCUGGAGAAUAAGCCACGGCUAACUACGUGCCAGCAGCCGCGGUAAUACGUAGGUGGCAAGCGUUGUCCGGAUUUACUGGGUGUAAAGUGCGCGUAGGCGGGAGAGCAAGUCAGGAGUGAAAUCUAUGGGCUUAACCCAUAAAUUGCUUUUGAAACUGUUUUUCUUGAGUGAUGGAGAGGCAAGCGGAAUACCUAGUGUAGCGGUGAAAUGCGUAGAUAUUAGGAGGAACACCAGUGGCGAAGGCGGCUUGCUGGACAUUAACUGACGCUGAUGCGCGAAAGCGUGGGGAGCAAACAGGAUUAGAAACCCGGGUAGUCC
rnacentral:rRNA from 1 species